rnacentral:piRNA from 1 species
UGAGGAGGCAUUUCGUGGUGAGCAGCAGG